rnacentral:tRNA from 1 species
GCGGCGGUUUUCGAGCCGGUGCACGGCAGCGCACCGGCUUUGGCCGGCACGGGCAAAGCGAAUCCCACCGCCGCG